UUAAUUAAUCUCAUAAUUAAUUUAUUAAUUAACAUUUAUGAUUAUCUAAUAAUAUUCAUGAUCAAUUAGCUAAUCAAUUUAUUAAAUUUUAUUUACAUGUUAAUUAAUUAUAUGUAUACAAUAUUAUUAUUUAAUUACUACAAUCACUUUUAUUCCUAUUAUUCCUAUCUAAUUAUCCAAACAUUAUUUUUCUUAUUCUCGAAAAUAACCUACUUUUCAUCCAAACUUAAAAUUGAUCUUAUUCGGCUAUUCCUACUUAUUUCCGAGGUUGUACCUAUCUCGGGAAUAACCGUAAUUUUUAGUUUAAUUUUUAAUUUUUCGAUAAUUCGAGCCCUAUGUCACGGACAAAAUAUUUUUCGUUGGCUUCUCCUUGACUGUGGCCCAACUUCGCUAGCGGAGCGGGUCGUUAAAGAAACCCGAACCCAACCCGCUAUGGGAAACUCAAGGAUUAUGAAACUCUCAUGAGUUAUGGGGUGACUUUUGGACUUAUGGCUCAUUAUGAGGGUGAGUUAAUGUGUCUCAUAAUGAGAGAGUUAGUUGUGUCUAGGUUCAUUGUAUCUAGGAAUAUAUAAGUAGUGGGGUUUGGCUAAGGUCAAAACACACAAGAGAGAGUGUGUAUGUGAGUUGUAAUUCUCAUUUUUUAAGUAGUGUAGUAUUUAGCUUUUUGAGAGAACCUCUGUCUUUUUCUCUUUGUCAUUUUUCUUUGCGUACUUAGUCGUAGGACGCGAAGGUCCGGACUAGCAAUAGGGACGAAAGCUUGUCCAUCUUCGAGCAGGAAGGCGGGCGCUGCACAGACUUUGCGAAUUCUUAUUUUCUAAGUACUGUAGUAUUUAGCUUUUUGAGAGAACCUCUGCCUCUUUCUCUUUGUCAUUUUUCUUUGCAUACUUAGUCGUAGGACGCGAAGGUCCGGACUAGCAAUAGGGACGAAAG
rnacentral:lncRNA from 1 species